UACAGAGGUGGCAAGCGUUGUUCGGAAUCACUGGGCGUAAAGCGCACGUAGGCGGAUGUGUCAGUCAGGGGUGAAAUCCCGGGGCUCAACCUCGGAACUGCCUUUGAUACAGCACGUCUCGAGUCCGGAAGAGGUGGGUGGAAUUCCUAGUGUAGAGGUGAAAUUCGUAGAUAUUAGGAAGAACACCGGUGGCGAAGGCGGCCCACUGGUCCGGUACUGACGCUGAGGUGCGAAAGCGUGGGGAGCAAACAGG
rnacentral:rRNA from 1 species